rnacentral:rRNA from 1 species
UACGGAGGGUGCAAGCGUUAUCCGGAUUCACUGGGUUUAAAGGGUGCGUAGGUGGGCAGUUAAGUCAGUGGUGAAAUCUCCGGGCUUAACCCGGAAACUGCCAUUGAUACUAUCUGUCUUGAAUACUCUGGAGGUAAGCGGAAUAUGUCAUGUAGCGGUGAAAUGCUUAGAUAUGACAUAGAACACCGAUUGCGAAGGCAGCUUACUACGGAGUCAUUGACACUGAGGCACGAAAGCGUGGGGAUCAAAC